rnacentral:misc_RNA from 1 species
AAGUCGUAACAAGGUUUCCGUAGGUGAACCUGCGGAAGGAUCAUUACCGAACAACCAAAUCCUCUGUGCCUCCUUGUAGCAGGCAGGAUCGGGGGGUUCCAAGAGGUUGCCUUCCAGCACCCCUUGGUCCCCCAUGCUGCCACUACGUCCUCCUAUUUUACCAAACAAAACCUGUCUGUCGCAUGUUUGUGGCAUCCCCUUGUCGGGCUUGCCCUUUAAACAUAUCAAACAUAACUUUCAACAACGGAUCUCUUGGCUCUC